CAGAAAUCCAACCAGCUCGGCCCAACUGCACCAAACUUACUUAUCGGUAGCCGCGCGGUGCGUGCGCUUUAUUCCUAGACUUUUGGGGUAAUUAUUAUGAUUUUUUUCCCCUAUUUUUUUUUUUAACGGGAAGGCCCCCGCGGGCUCCCCGCCCGCCGCCCCGCCGGCAGGGGCCCGGAGGAGCGAAGGAGUUAAAGGGAGGCGCUUGGGAAAUCCGAUGCUGAGGAGCCCCAGGAAUGCUGCUGCCCCUUCCCACUCCCCUCCGGCUCUCGGAGCGGCUCAGUCCCCGCCGCCGAGCCCCGAGGCCGCGCACGCUCUCUCCGGGCUCUGCCCCGCAGGCGCUGCCGGAGAUGCCGGGCAGAAGGCGGUGGUGGGCACGCUGCUGGCUGGGCGUCUGCCUUUCGCUGCUGGGCGCCGGGGGCUGCAGCGGAGGCGGCGGCGGCGGCGGUGGCUCCGAGCCCUGCCGCCUGCCCCCGUGCCCUGCCGAGGCUCCCCCGCCGCCCUGCCGCGGGGCUCGCUGCGGAGCCCGUGCCGGCCGGCCCGCCCGCUCCUUCCCGCACACCGCCACGCCGCUGCGGGCCCCGCAGGGCAAGCCGCAACCCCCCGCAGCCAGAGGGGGUCCUCCGGAGGCUUGUCCGGCCGGGGGCUGCUCCUCCAACGGCACCCGCCGCGAUUGCCAGGGCUUGGAGUGCCGCCUGCCCCCCCGCCUGCGGCCGAGACCCCGCGGCACCGGCGGCUGCGGCGCCUCCGCCCCCGGCGAGGGCUGCCCCGAGCCCGCCCUGCUCCGAGCCGCCGAGCGGGCAGCGCAGUUCGCCGGGGAUGAUUUCGCCUACGGGGGGCCCGAGCUGGGCGGAGGAGGCGCCCUGGGGGUGCAGCUGGCCUGCGACGUGAAGCCAGGACCUAGGAUCUUUGCAUUUUCUUUGUGCUCACCAAGAUCCAUCUCCGUGUAA
rnacentral:lncRNA from 1 species